rnacentral:tRNA from 1 species
GUGGGUAUAGCUCAGUGGUAGAGCACAUGCCUAGCAAGCAUGAGGUCCUGGGUUCAGUCCCCAGUACCUCCA